CUACGGGACGCAGCAGUGAGGAAUCUUGCGCAAUGGGGGAAACCCUGACGCAGCGACGCCGCGUGGGUGAUGAAGGCCUUCGGGUCGUAAAGCCCUGUCGAGAGGGAAGAAUUGCAUUUAGGUUAAUAGCCUAAUUGUUUGACGGUACCUCCAAAGGAAGCACCGGCUAACUCCGUGCCAGCAGCCGCGGUAAUACGGAGGGUGCAAGCGUUGUUCGGAAUCACUGGGCGUAAAGGGCGUGUAGGCGGCUGAGUAAGUCAGGUGUGAAAUCCCUCGGCUCAACCGAGGAAGUGCAUUUGAUACUGCUCAUCUUGAGUACUGGAGAGGGAGAUGGAAUUCCCGGUGUAGAGGUGAAAUUCGUAGAUAUCGGGAGGAACACCAGUGGCGAAGGCGAUCUCCUGGACAGAUACUGACGCUAAGGCGCGAAAGCGUGGGGAGCAAACAGGAUUAGAUACCCUAGUAGUC
rnacentral:rRNA from 1 species